UGCAACUUAGUUUAUAUAGAAUAAUUAAUUUGCAAUUAAUUGGAGAAUAGUAUUCAGUAGCAG
rnacentral:tRNA from 1 species